UGUCUGCUUCUCAGGAUGGUGCCAACAAGUAAGUGUAUUGCUUUUGCAUUUCAUACAUUCAUGUGCACUGUUUUUGUUUGCAAUAGAUUUAAGCUUUUCUUUUCCUUACAGGGCAAGGAAAGCUGGAGAUCAUGCCGCAUAUAGUCUUUUAAACAACCUCAGCAAUGCGACAAAUGAUAGUAGUAUUAAAGUGCGCAUUGCUCGAAUGUGGGACAAUCUGCAUGUAUAUGACAAAAAACAGUUGAUUAGUAUUGGCAUGGUGUUGAUUGAUGAAGAGGUAUCACUUUGUAUGGUAUUUUCAUAAAAAUUCUGUUUCUAAGUAUAGUACCUUAUAAUAACUUAUUGGUUUUCUUUAC
rnacentral:lncRNA from 1 species